AGCGAUUGACAGAGCCGUGUGAUUCAGAAGAGUGUGUUUCUACAAAAUUGGCCUUAAAUGGUGAAAUUGCCAGUUUCUACUCCCAAUCUCAUAUAUCGAGAUAUUUCUCAAUCGCGUGUUUUGGAUGUUCCCAGCGUCAACUCCAUCCAGAAAGCAUUCCACUUGUGUGACGUCAUGGAUUUUCUUAAGUGUGGAAUGGAGGCCAUUAUUGAAGAUGAAGUAACAACUCGUUUUUCAGCUGAAGAAUUGUCGUCUUGGAAUUUAUUGACUAGGACAGACUGUGGAUACCAGUUUAUCAGUUGGCGACUCACAUUUCUGUGGGGUAUCGGCUUCUUUGUCAGAUAUUUCAUACUGCUUCCAUUCAGAUUUGUGUUGAUGUCUUUUGGUAUUGUUUGGCUCAUCACUUGUACAGCAUUCAUAGGAUAUUUACCACCAGGAAAAAUGAAAAGACAGUUGAACCAGUAUGUUUCAUUAAUGUGUGCCCGCAUCCUGGCUCGGGCAAUUUCAGCCAUGGUAGUGUUCCAUGACAGACAGAAUAUGGUUAAGCAUGGGAUAUGUGUUGCUAAUCAUACUUCUCCAAUUGAUGUGAUAAUUCUGUCAUGUGACAACUGUUAUGCUCUGGUGGGACAAGCACAGGGAGGCCUGUUUGGGGUUUUACAACGAGCACUGGGACGUGCAACACACCAUGUCUGGUUCGAGCGGUCAGAGCUCAAAGACAGACACUUGGUGGCCGAAAGAUUAAGAGAGCAUGUGGAGAAUGUCAACAAACUUCCAAUGUUAAUAUUUCCUGAAGGAACGUGCAUCAACAAUACUUCUGUGAUGAUGUUCAAAAAGGGAAGUUUUGAAAUCAGUUCCACAAUUUAUCCAGUAGCAAUCAAAUAUGAUGCGCGGUUUGGUGACGCGUUCUGGAACAGCAGUAAACACGGGAUGAUCGGACAUUUCCUCUACAUCAUGACGAGCUGGGCCGUCGUCUGCGACGUCUGGUAUCUCCCGCCCAUGACAAGACUGAAAAUAAUACACAAGUGUAUAAGGAGACGAUUUCUUUACAAGUGGUUUCCAAACGUAUCUAACAAGCGAAGGAUGGCGAGGAUGCGGUAGAGUUUGCGAACAGAGUGAAGGGUGAAAUAGCCAGAAAGGGUGGACUCGUAGAUUUAGAAUGGGACGGACAAUUAAAAAGAAGUCAACCGAAAUCAUCGUUUUUAGAAAAACAACAAAAAUUUUAUAGCCAAAUGCUUAAAAUGGAAUGAACUAACGAAUUUGUGGUUGAAAGUGAAAGGAACAAUUGAAUGAACACUCAGUGGGCUGUUUAAAGUGAACCUUGAGCGAGUUGCUGAAAAUGAGUGAAUGUUGAGUGGUUUGUUUAAAAGUUGAAUGAGCAAGAUAAGAAAAAUCCAAUUUUCUGUAAAUGUUAUUGAAAUUUGUCGGCAUACAUCGAGUCAUUUUCAUCAGACUGAAUUUUGUGAGUUCAUAGUUAGUUUAUCUGUCACUUGCUUUUAGACAUACACGUAGUCCGUGUUCUAAUUGCUACAGGUUAUCUGUGUCAUGUUUCCGUAUUUUCAUUUAAUGCGGCUGUAAAACAGGCCAGUCUGGGGUGGGAAGGUUUAUUGUUGGUACAAAAUAUUAUCUGGGCACAGUAAUAAAAGGUCUUCUUUAGCUAUACAAAAAGUGAACUUUUAAAACCAAAUAGGACACUUUUUUAUGUUUGGAGCCAGUUGGCUCACUGCCCAUUCCCACUAUGUAUGUUACAGUAUUAAAAUUGUUUUGUGUUGUUGUUUCUACUUAAUUUCAUGCUUUUAUCCCGCAAUCACUGUAUUCAUUGUCAAGAUAUAAUGACUAGAUAUAUUUCUAUAAAUAUAGGUCACGUGACAUAAGCACGACUCGACUCAAGUAUUUCAGACUAGAUUUUCAAUAAACAUACUCUUUAAAUCAUUUGUUUUAUUACAGUAAAUGAAAAUAAAUUUUAGUUUUGCGAUAACAAUACAAAGCUUGUGUAUUUGUUUAUGAAUUGGAGUUUAGAAACACUUUUUGAAUGUGACAGAAUGUAGCUAACGUCUUGUAAAGAAUGACGUCAUAUAUCUUGUAUGACAUCAUACGGCAAAACCCUUGCUAGGUUGACAAUACUCAAUUUGCGUACACAAAAAUGGAAUAAAUAAUGAUUUUCUGAUUAUUCCUGUAGGAUUGCAGGAUAAAAGAAAUAAAUGGUUACUGUCUUAAGAUAUCAG
rnacentral:misc_RNA from 1 species